GUAGGUGGCAAGCGUUGUCCGGAAUUAUUGGGCGUAAAGCGCGCGCAGGCGGUCCUUUAAGUCUGAUGUGAAAGCCCACGGCUCAACCGUGAAGGGUCAUUGGAAACUGGGGGACUUGAGUACAGAAGAGGAAAGCGGAAUUCCAAGUGUAGCGGUGAAAUGCGUAGAGAUUUGGAGGAACACCAGUGGCGAAGGCGGCUUUCUGGUCUGUAACUGACGCUGAGGCGCGAAAGCGUGGGGAGCAAACAGGGAUUAGAUACCCUGGUAGUCCACGCCGUAAACGAUGAGUGCUAAGUGUUAGGGGGUUUCCGCCCCCUUAGUGCUGCAGCUAACGCAUUAAGCACUCCGCCUGGGGAGUACGGCCGCAAGGCUG
rnacentral:rRNA from 1 species